CCACCGGGAUGUUCAUAACCCUUUGUUGUCCGACUCUGUUGCCUCCGGGGCGACCCUGCCUUCGGGCGGGGGCUCCGGGUGGACACUUCAAACUCUUGCGUAACUUUGCAGUCUGAGUAAACUUAAUUAAUAAAUUAAAACUUUUAACAACGGAUCUCUUGGUUCUGGCAUCGAUGAAGAACGCAGCGAAAUGCGAUAAGUAAUGUGAAUUGCAGAAUUCAGUGAAUCAUCGAAUCUUUGAACGCACAUUGCGCCCCCUGGUAUUCCGGGGGGCAUGCCUGUUCGAGCGUCAUUUCACCACUCAAGCCUCGCUUGGUAUUGGGCAACGCGGUCCGCCGCGUGCCUCAAAUCGACCGGCUGGGUCUUCUGUCCCCUAAGCGUUGUGGAAACUAUUCGCUAAAGGGUGUUCGGGAGGCUACGCCGUAAAACAACCCCAUUUCUAAGGUUGACCUCGGAUCAGGUAGGGAUACCCGCUGAACUUAAGCAUAUCAAUAAGGCGGAGAA
rnacentral:rRNA from 1 species